ensembl:lncRNA SCN1A-AS1 SCN1A and SCN9A antisense RNA 1
UUGGCAGCAGCAGGCAGCCAGGCAGGCUGGGAGUUUGCAUGGAAAUCAUGAAGUCUUUCUUGUCUUCCUCUUUUGAAAUAUUUUGGAAGGCGAGUUAAGAAUAGCUCAGAAACUGGUCUCAUUCUUUUUGUGGGAAGAAUGACCAGAAGCAUAAAAGCUAAGUCUUCCAGCAAGUGCAAGACACCUCUUUUGGUGUUUGCAGUAAACCUAACAAGAAUGAAUUGCUAUCAGUAAAGUCCUGUACCAUGACACCUAAAAGGAAGGAAAUGGUAAAGCAAAGUAAUAACUCAAAGACAGUCACCGAGGGCUUUUGUCCACCUUUAACUCAUUGUGGCAAAGUUGGACAUUCCAAAGAUGGCGUAGAUGAACAUGACCAGGAAGAGCAGGAGGCCGAUGUUAAACAACGCAGGAAGGGACAUCAUCAAAGCAAAGAGCAGCGUGCGGAUCCCCUUUGCUCCUUUGACUAGACGUAGGAUUCGGCCAAUCCUGGCAAGACGGAUCACUCGGAACAGGGUAGCAGAGAUCUCUGGAGGUGAAACAUUGCUCUGAACUGGCAUUGAUUCUAGCCCAGCUCUUGUAGACCAAUUACCAACUUGCCUCUGGCUCAUCGGAAUUCAUAGGUUCAGCCUCUGCUUCUUCUCCUUCUCCAGGCAAAGGGUUAUCAACUGUGCUGCACUCUGAGGAGCUUGACCGGUUUAAUCUCUAGAAAGGAAUUCACCACCCCACCAGCACGCGGAACACAAUCAGGAAGGAGUGGAAGAAGUCGUUCAUGUGCCACCGUGGGAGCGUACAGUCAUCAUUGAUCUUGCAGACACAUUCUUUGUAGCUCUUACCAAAGAGCUGCAUGCCGACCACAGCAAAAAUGAAGACGAUGAUGGCCAACACUAAGCCUUUAGACUAAAAAGAAAACAAAUAUUACAUACCCUGAAUCUGUGCUGAAACCACAAAGGAGAGCAUCUUUGGAUCCUUCCAAGUAAUAAAAAUAUUCUGUUGAAGAAGAAUUUGAACAGUUAUAACAUCACAGACUUUAAUCUGUGAUUGUGAUAAAGGAGGUCAAAUUAAAAAAUCUGAUUAUUGGGAGACUUUUGGAGUAAUCAUGGAAGAAAGACUAUGAAAUCAGAUAUUCUUGGAUUUGAAUGUUGCUUCUAUCCCUUCUUAACUUAAAUCCAUGGGCAUUCAUUAUCAUCAGUGCCUAACCUGGCAGAACCACAGUCUACACAUAAUCUGGCAUCUGUCUUUUCCAUGCUGGCUACCAAAUGGCUGAAUGUUGGUGGAGAAACUCUCACAACCAAGUGAAUGGUUAUAUUUUAAUUUCGCUCUUGUUGCCCAGGCUGGAGUGCAAUGGCACGAUCUCGGCUCACCGCAACCUCUGCCUCCCGAGUUCAAGCGAUUCUCCUGCCUCAGCCUCCUGAGUAGCUGGAAUUACAGGCGCCCAC